UACGAAGGGGGCUAGCGUUGUUCGGAGUUACUGGGCGUAAAGGGCGCGUAGGCGGCGCACCAAGUCAGGCGUGAAAGCCCUGGGCUCAACCCGGGAAUUGCGCUUGAGACUGGUGUGCUUGAGUACGGGAGAGGAUAGUGGAAUUCCCAGUGUAGAGGUGAAAUUCGUAGAUAUUGGGAAGAACACCGGUGGCGAAGGCGGCUAUCUGGGACGGUACUGACGCUGAGACGCGAAAGCGUGGGGAGCGAACAGG
rnacentral:rRNA from 1 species